rnacentral:sRNA from 1 species
CCGUGAAAACCUGAGGCUCAACCUCGGGCGUGCGGUGGAUACUGCCGGGCUAGAGGACGGUAGAGGCGAGUGGAAUUCCCGGUGUAGCGGUGAAAUGCGCAGAUAUCGGGAGGAACACCAGUAGCGAAGGCGGCUCGCUGGGCCGUUCCUGACGCUGAGACGCGAAAGCUAGGGGAGCGAACAGGAUUAGAUACCCUGGUAGUCCUAGCCGUAAACGAUGGACACUAGGUGUGGGGGGAGUCGAAUCCCUCUGUGCCGCAGUUAACGCGUUAAGUGUCCCGCCUGGGGAGUACGGCCGCAAGGCUAAAACUCAAAAGAAUUGACGGGGGCCCGCACAAGCAGCGGAGCAUGUUCUUUAAUUCGAUGCAACGCGAAGAACCUUACCUGGACUUGACAUGGUGCUGCAAGCGCACGGAAACGUGUGACCUUCGAGGGUGCACCACAGAUGCUGCAUGGCUGUCGUCAGCUCGUGUCGUGAGAUGUUGGGUUAAGUCCCGCAACGAGCGCAACCCCNUGUGGCGUGUUGCCAUCAUUAAGUUGGGGACUCACGCCAGACUGCCGGUGACAAACCGRRGRAAGGUGGGGAUGAGGUCAAGUCAUCAUGGCUCUUACGUCCAGGGCUAGAAACGUGCUACAAUGGCUGAUACAAAGGGUUGCAAGACCGCAAGGUGGAGCGAAUCUCAUCAAAGUCAGUCUAAGUUCGGAUCGCAGUCUGCAACUCGACUGCGUGAAGGCGGAGUUGCUAGUAAUCGCGGAUCAGCAUGCCGCGGUGAAUACGUUCCCGGGCCUUGUACACACCGCCCGUCACACCACGAAAGUCGGCAAUACCCGAAGCAGGCGCAGCCAACCCCUUGUGGGAGGCGKYCYRMGRAGGUAGGGSUGGCGAUUGGGGUGAAGUCGUAACAAGGUAGCCGUACCUGAAGGUGCGGCUGGAUCACCUCCUUUCUAGGGAGUAGGUAGGGCAGCAAUGCCCGACCGAUCGGACACCGAUACAAAGGAUGGCUCGAGCGUUAGCUCGCCGCUUUUCGGUGUACCGCUCUAGGAUAUUUCGACCUGUCUUAAGGCGGGGGGUUCUCAUCCUGUUCGAGUAGCUGCUAUUCAGUUUUCAGGGCCUUUGGUCCUGAUCUUUUGGCGUGCGCCCGCGAGAGCGUGGCGUCUGGUCUUUGAAAACCGCAUAGCGCGAUCCAAUGUACCAUCAAGAUACUAAGGGCGUAUGGUGGAUGCCUUGGCACCGGAAGCCGAUGAAGGACGUGGCAAGCUGCGAUAAGCCGUGUGGAGCCGCAAGCGGGCUAGGAAGCAC